rnacentral:rRNA from 1 species
AUACGGAGGGUGCAAGCGUUAUCCGGAAUCAUUGGGUUUAAAGGGUCCGUAGGCGGACUAAUAAGUCAGGGGUGAAAUCCCACAGCUUAACUGUGGAACUGCCUUUGAUACUGUUAGUCUUGAGUUAUAUGGAAGUAGAUAGAAUGUGUAGUGUAGCGGUGAAAUGCUUAGAGAUUACACAGAAUACCGAUUGCGAAGGCAGUCUACUACAUAUAUACUGACGCUAAUGGACGAAAGCGUGGGGAGCGAACAGGAUUAGAUACCCCAGUAGUCC